GACUACCUGAGGAAGUUUACCUGGCUUUCCACUGUUGUCGACGCUCACCAGGUUUUUCACAGAGUAGAGCCCUGCAUCCUCCAGCUGUGUGUGUGUGUGCGUGUGCGUGUGCGUGUGCUGUGCGUGUGUGUCAGGAUGAUGAAGAAGUGUCUAUCAGGGUGGCAUAUGACUCCCACAUCAUAGACCAGAUGACCGAGGAGGAAAUACUGGCCUGCCUGAUGGCCGAGGUCUAUACCCAUACACACGGUUCCCAGUAAGAAGGCCACGCUGAGAGAGAACCAGCCGCAWCAACAGGAUGACCACAUAGACAGAUACCAGAGGGAGAACCGUCAGCUGCAGCAGGCCAGUCUGYGUCUGGAGCAGGAGAAUGAUGUUCUGGCCCACAGACUGAUCACCAGCAAGAUCUCCCUGAGGACUGACCUGGACCAGGUACACCACUCACCUACCCCACAUCAACCCCACAUCAACCCCUAGCCCCCUACCUCCUAGGCACUCCUCCAGCCCUCUAAC